CCAGACUCCUACGGGAGGCAGCAUUUAGGAAUAUUGGUCAAUGGCCGGAAGUCUUAACCAGCCAAUUCUCUUGAGGGACUACUUCCCUAUGGGUUUUAAACCUCUUUUAUCAUUGAAGAAUACAUUCUACGUGUAUCCUUAUGCCUGUACCUUCUUAAUAAGCAUCUUCUAACUACGUUCCAUCAGCCGCGUUAAUACGUAGGGGUCCAGCUUUAUCCGGAAUUACUGGGUGUAAAGGGAGCGCAGACGGCAGUGCAAGUCUGGAGUGAAAGUCCGUGGAGUAACCACGGGACUGCUCUGGAAACUGUGCAGCUAGAGUGCAGGAGAGGAAGGCGGAAUUCCUAGUGUAGCGGUGAAAUGCGUAGAGAUGAGGAGGAACACCGGUGGCGAAGGCGGCCUACUGGACUGUAACUGACGUUGAGGCUCGAAAGCGUGGGGAGCAAACAGGAUUAGAUACCCCCGUAA
rnacentral:rRNA from 1 species